CGUCCGUCCACUCUACGACACUGUGCCUGCUCUUGUGUUUUUGACCCUUUUCCGUUUUUGCAGGUGCCGCAGACAGAUGCUGAGAAUGCUGUUUCGCAAUAUGCAGACGCACUAGCUGACAGCUGACAGCGCGAGCAGUUGGCGGAAAGUAUGGCGGCACACCGCCCGCCGGCGUCAGCAAUGCAGAGAUCAAUCCACGGCGGCGCUUGCUGCCGACCUGCCCCCCGCUGGUCGAGGUUCUGGGCGCCUCCCCGGCAGCUGGUGAAGCGUCAGCUGCUUGCUCAGUGCUCGUGGGGCAUGGUGAAGCCGUCCUGCCUGAGCUGAUGUACAAGCCUCCCCCCGUGAAGUGCGAGAGGGACCCGGGGCGGACCGAGCGGAUCGCCGCCGAGCGAUCCGGGCCGUCCGUAUCCGUCCUGGAAUGACCGUGGGCCGACGGGUGCGGCUCGUCUUGCGUUGUUAGACUCUGACCAACCGACCAAGUUGGCCGACCGGCUCCGACCAUCGCAUGGCGCGGCAGCCCUGGUCGGGGGCCGCAGGGACGACUGUCGGUCCCGGGCUCAGGCCACAGCUCGGAGCGCGUGGCGCGCGCGUUUCAGUCGCGAUGCUCUGUGCGAGCGUGCUGUGACUCCGCUUGUGCGUGGCGCGGUGGCGCGCUGCCGACCGUCGGUGCUGACGGCGACACAGGUCAAUACAUUGGUGACGAGCCGA